rnacentral:tRNA from 5 species
AGGAGUGUAGCUCAGUUGGUAGAGCACCGGUCUCCAAAACCGGGUGUCGUCGGUUCGAGCCCGGCCACUCCUGCCA